rnacentral:lncRNA from 1 species
GUAUAGAGAGAACAGGCCCUGUGAGAGAGCCUCACACUUGCUGCCUCCUCUGCCUGGAACUCUCUCCCUCUGCUCUCACAGGGUUCCCUAAGUGUCGCUUCCUCCAAGAAGCCCUCCCUGAUGAGUUGAGCCACUUUAGUUUGUGCUCAGGCUCACCCUGCACGUCUUGGUUGCUCUCAUCACUGUAAUGAUCUAAAACACACGUCUGCUCAUGAGACCCGCAUCCCACCCCCGAUGCUGGGGCCGCUCUUGGAUUUUCAUGCCUGCUGCCAGCACCCAGGGGGAGCUCCGGAAAUGUCUGCUGGGGGCUCGGAAUACCCACCUUUCUGGUAAUGCAGCCCAGCGGGUCCCAGCCUCGUUUUCCAGCCCUCACUCAAAAUGGAGUCGCUCUGGUUCGAACGCCUCUGACAAGUGUGUACCUACGUGUCAGGCCCAUCCUUCCUGCAGGCCUUUGUCUUGGUGUCACCCUGCCUGAGCUGGCCCCAACCACAGUAGCAACAGUGAUGCUGAUGUGUGACUGCUGCCAGGAGCCUGCUCACAUGACCGUGUGGAGAAAGUUCUUUCCCUGAGGACCAUCUGGAGUGGACGCGUGCACUACCCCUCUCUGAAUACACCCUCCCCACGAGGCCCUCUGGAGCAUCCUGUAGAGCCAGCCCCUACCCAGAGACCCUGAGCCCAGAGAAUGCGCUGGGUGGUGAGCCUGGGGACGAAUGCAGAGCCCUAGGUCUCCUCUCCAGAAAGACCGGAUUUUGCCAUGUUGGCCAGGCUGGUCUUGAACUCCUGACCUCAAGUGAUCCACCUGCCUCGGCCUCCCAAAGUGCAGGGAUUACAGGUGUGAGCCACUGCACCCGGCCUCAGGCAGGUAUUUUUACCAGCCGAAUACUCUUGCACUGUGCACUCUUCGUGUUCAUCAUCAGUCCCCCGGAUGGGUGUUUAAGGCAUUUCCAAAGCUCUGUUAUUAAAAACACGAUGCAAUGAGUUUCUUUCAGCAUUUCCCCUUGUUGCCGUGUGAAUGCGUCCGUGGUAUAACUUCCUAAAAGUGGAAUCGCUUGGUCAAAGGGUGGGUGCAUUUAGCAACCUGAUGGCUUUCCAGGAGACAAGUGCUGCCUCCCGGCCACGAGCUUUUAAGAAGAACUGUUGAUGGAACCCGAGCUGGAGUCCCAGGGACCGGGGCGAGUUCUCCAUCCCAGGGGAUUUUCAGAUGGGACACUGGGGAGAAGCUGCCCUGCCCAUCUGAACUCUAUGAUCCCAGUACUAACACUGGUAGCUGUGCCAUCCCCAGUAUAGAGACAGCACCGUGCUCUUGGGAGGGUGAGUCAUUGGCCCCCG